CCUUUGGAGUGUUAGACCACUUGAGUAGCAAUUAUGCGAAAAAGAACAUGAUGAAGAAGGAA
rnacentral:sRNA from 12 species